rnacentral:rRNA from 1 species
UAGGGAAUCUUCGGCAAUGGGGGGAACCCUGACCGAGCAACGCCGCGUGAGUGAAGAAGGUUUUCGGAUCGUAAAGCUCUGUUGUUAAGGAAGAACGAGUGUGAGAAUGGAAAGUUCAUACUGUGACGGUACUUAACCAGAAAGGGACGGCUAACUACGUGCCAGCAGCCGCGGUAAUACGUAGGUCCCGAGCGUUGUCCGGAUUUAUUGGGCGUAAAGCGAGCGCAGGCGGUUAGAUAAGUCUGAAGUUAAAGGCAGUGGCUCAACCAUUGUAGGCUUUGGACACUGUUUAACUUGAGUGCAGAAGGGGAGAGUGGAAUUCCAUGUGUAACGGUGAAAUGCGUAGAUAUAUGGAGGAACACCGGUGGCGAAAGCGGCUCUCUGGUCUGUAACUGACGCUGAGGCUCGAAAGCGUGGGGAGCGAACAGG